GAACGCUGGCGGCAUGCUUUACACAUGCAAGUCGAACGGUAACAGGCCUUCGGGCGCUGACGAGUGGCGAACGGGUGAGUAACGCAUCGGAACGUGCCCAGUCGUGGGGGAUAACGCAGCGAAAGCUGUGCUAAUACCGCAUACGAUCUGCGGAUGAAAGCGGGGGACCUUAGGGCCUCGCGCGAUUGGAGCGGCCGAUGUCAGAUUAGGUAGUUGGUGGGGUAAAGGCCCACCAAGCCAACGAUCUGUAGCUGGUCUGAGAGGACGACCAGCCACACUGGGACUGAGACACGGCCCAGACUCCUACGGGAGGCAGCAGUGGGGAAUUUUGGACAAUGGGGGCAACCCUGAUCCAGCAAUGCCGCGUGAGUGAAGAAGGCCUUCGGGUUGUAAAGCUCUUUUGUCAGGGAAGAAACAGCAGCUCUAACACAGUCUGCGAAUGACGGUACCUGAAGAAUAAGCACCGGCUAACUACAUG
rnacentral:rRNA from 1 species